CACAAACCGAGCAAUUAUUAGGCUUCACUACUUUAGCACUUCGGCAACGGAUUCACCAGGAACGAACGCUUGCAAAGAUGGCCUACAGACACCGACUGCAAGCCUCUGCACAGAUCCAGGCUACGAAAAUACUAUCGGUCGAGCAUUAAUCGAUCCAGAUCUGCGAAUGAGGGCCUCUGUCAAUUGUCGGCAUGUCGCGUUCGUUUGUAGAUAACAAUGUCGUUGAUGUCUAAGACGAACAGGCAGAAGGAGGACUUGGGUGUUGACACAUUCGGACUAUAG